rnacentral:rRNA from 1 species
UUCCGGUUGAUCCUGCCAGAGGCUACUGCUAUCGGGGUUCGAUUAAGCCAUGCGAGUUAAAUGUUCUUCGUGAACAUAGCGAACUGCUCAGUAACACGUGGAUAACCUACCCUUAGGACCGGAAUAACCCCGGGAAACUGGGGAUAAUACCGGAUAAGCCAUAGACGCUGGAAUGCCCUAUGGUUCAAAGCUCCGGCGCCUAAGGAUGGAUCUGCGGUCUAUCAGGUUGUAGUGGGUGUAACGUACCUACUAGCCGACGACGGAUACGGGUUGUGAGAGCAAGAGCCCGGAGAUGGAUUCUGAGACACGAAUCCAGGCCCUACGGGGUGCAGCAGGCGCGAACACUUUACAAUGCGGGAAACCGCGAUAAGGGAACCCCGAGUGCCAGCACCAAGUGUUGGCUGUCCGGAUGAUUAAAAAUCAUUUGUUAGCAAGGGCCGGGCAAGACCGGUGCCAGCCGCCGCGGUAACACCGGCGGCCCGAGUGGUAGCCGUUUUUAUUGGGUCUAAAGGGUCCGUAGCCGGCUUGAUAAGUCCUUUGGGAAAUCUGGCAGCUUAACUGUCAGGCUUCUAAGGGAUACUGUCAGGCUUGGGACCGGAAGAGGUAAGGGGUACUCCAGGGGUAGGAGUGAAAUCUUGUAAUCCCUGGGGGACCAUCUGUGGCGAAGGCGCCUUACCAGAACGGGUCCGACGGUGAGGGACGAAAGCUAGGGGAGCAAACCGGAUUAGAUACCCGGGUAGUCCUAGCUGUAAACGAUGCUCGCUAGGUGUCAGACACGGUGCGACCGUGUUUGGUGCCGCAGGGAAGCCGUUAAGCGAGCCACCUGGGAAGUACGGUCGCAAGGCUGAAACUUAAAGGAAUUGGCGGGGGAGCACUACAACGGGUGGAGCCUGCGGUUUAAUUGGAUUCAACGCCGGGAA